GGUACUUCUCCCAAAUGUUUACAGUCCAGGGGAGAGGGACUCCUAAGAAAAGCCAAGAGAGAGAGAGAGACAGAGGGUGGGGGUGAUGAAGAGAGAAAAGGAGAGGGGAGUGGAAAGGGAAGAGGUGAGAAGAGAGGCUGAGAAGAGAGAGGAGGGAGAAGACAGGGAAGGCAGGGUGCAGAGAUGGGGCGCACAUGCCAGCCGGCACAGCCGCGCAGCGCUGCCCCCAGGAAGCCUGCGUCUGUUUGGCGGGGCGGGAGCCGCGGGGUCCCCAGAGCCCGCCGACACUUCCCGGCCAACGCGCCCAACCAGGGUGCCCCUGCACGCUAAUGAGGGGUCUAGAUCGGCUUCACACACGAUCGCUCCAAGUGUUCAGGAACUUACCGGGCUGCGGAAUGAUGGGGUACAGCUCCCGGGGGACCGCCCCCCGCCCAGCAGAGGGGCCUUGGCCUCCAGGUACCCGGUGCUCACAGCUACUGCGACUUGGAGCAGCGCCAGCCUCAUUUGAAUUCCAGCCUUUGUGAAUAACUCAAGUGUCGCCACCGUUGCUCCAGCAAUUGCAGGGCUUUCGAGCUCACACCAUCCUGCCUCGUUCUGGAAUACCCGACUGGGCAGGCUCCCCUCCCCACAGCUUCCAUGCCUCCUUACAGAGCAGUGGGAGCGGGGCGGAGGUGGGAAGUGAUGGAGCUGCAGAAGGAGAGACGCUCCUGCUGAACCUUCUAGUCCCCGCCCGCCGUUUUCCCCCCUAGCUGCAGUAGGAGUCAGGUGGGGCCCGUCUGGCUCUGAUUAGGCUGUCUUCCUCUUAGCGAUCUAGCUCAGUUCUGUCUGCAGCCCUCUGCACUCACGCAUUCCUUCGUUUCCCUCCUUAAUCAGGAUUCAGUGAAAUAGAUCUGGCUGGAAAAUCUGUGAGGCUUAUUUCCUCCCAUUGCAGUAACCUCCUUUUCUCGCUUGUUCCUACACCCAAACAAUCUUUUAUUAAACAAACUCAUUUUUUGUGUGUGUGGCGUACCUAGUACAUUGUGGAUCUUGCGCAAGGGAAGAGAAGCGAUGUUAAAGAAAUGCGCGAAGUGAGCUCUCCAUCCUGGAGGCGCACAUUGUUUGUUAGAGGCAACAGAAACAGCAACAGAUGUAGCAGAUGCAAAUUUCAGAGUCCCACAAAUUGAGGCAUGAGAAAUGUGAAUCUUGUAUUUGUCUACUCCCCAACCUCCCCUCUCCCUCCAGCCUCCCCA
ensembl:lncRNA